CGGCCAAACAAUGGGCGAUACUGACCAGCCAUGUCGCGUGCGGUGACGGCCUUAUGGGUUGUAAACUGCUUUUAUGAGGGGGUAAAGUGCGGGCGUGUACCUUUUUGCAGGUACCGUUUGACUAAGGACCGGCUAAUUCCGUGCCUGCGGCCGCGGUAAUAGUUAUA
rnacentral:rRNA from 1 species